AGUGUACUUGUUUGUGGUGGUCUCGUUGUCGAUGGAUUCGGUGACGGAGUCGGUGUCCGUGGUGUCUGGAGGAGCUGUGGCUUUUGUGCGCCGGAGGAACGGCUGCCGGGAUUUCGCGGUCUGUGGAGGAAAAAUAAUGAUGCAUAUACUAGUAGCAGUACAGACGGAGAUCCAGUUUUGUGAAGACAAGGGGGGUUGAAGAUGCGAUGACAAUUUUGGAUGAAACUAUGACUGUCACUGGAUUCAACUCAUUCAACAUUGCUGAUGGAGAUACUCAAGGUUAAGUCAUUAUAAAGGAUUGAAGAAUUAAAAUGAAAAUAUGAGAAUCAAUCAGAAUAAGGCAUGAACCGCCAGAAACAGUUUUUAAAGUUGUAAAAUAAAAUUAGCGUGCUUGUGUCUUUACUUGAAUUACCCCCGAACUACCCUUAAUUUUAAUAACUAGUCACUAGAUUAUCUUAGGCAAGUAAUCGUGUAGCUUGAUUGAAAUGCAUUCUUAAAUAAUUUUCUUA